GCCAGAAACGUCUACCUUAUCCCUCUUGAAAUGCUACCCUGAGAUUGACAUAUGGGGAGUCUGGGCUAGACUCCUCGAGGGUGAGAAACUAUGUGAAGCAAGGUCUGGCCAAUAGACAGCCCCAAAUGCCAGAAUUGGGAGUGAAGUCAUCAUAGACAAUCUGUCUCUAAUGGAGUCCCCAGAUGUGUGCAGAAUAGGAAUAGCCCCAGGAAAGACCAACAGAAGAACCACUCACCUGAGCUCAGCCCAAAUUGUUGACUCACAGAAUUAAUUACAAUCUCCUGUUCCCCCUGAAAGAGCCCAGAUAGAUUCCCAGAUGAGUAUCGGAAGAGGUAGCUGCCAUCAGGACUUGCUUGAUGGACCCAAGCACUCAUCUAAUAGUGGCACUGGAAGAAUUAAUCUGGCUGAUAUAUCAGACCUCUCUCCUCCGUGGGAACUUGCCAUUUUCUCCAGCCUCUGAGUUUUUCUAGUGAGAUUCAGAGAUACAGCCAAAUCGCCUUAUACAAGGCAGGUGCUUGAUACAGGUUGAAUGAAGAUUAUGUUUACCAGGUUCCAGCUUUCUCCAUGAACCUCUUAACCUCCUCUUCAAGCAGAUGUCA
rnacentral:lncRNA from 1 species